rnacentral:misc_RNA from 1 species
ACUCUGGUAAAGGUGGAGCAGGUCUGCUCAAGGGAAGGGGGACAAAGUUCAAUUAAUUUAUCAAGGCUUUACCAAAGCGGCUCAAGAAAAAUAGGAAAGUGAUCAAUCAGAAAAUUUAUAGUGUUUAGAUAUCCUGGAUGCAAUAAGUGUGUCAAAUUCAACCUCAACAGCAAUUGCUUAGAAAAGAAAAUGAAGAAAAGCUUAUCCCUUUCAUUUAAAGUAGUCUCUGCUACUGACAAAGAGGACGGGAAAUGCAGGCGACUAAUUCUAAAGAGUGAAUUUUUAUGAGUAAACAGACAGACAAACUCAAAGUUAUUAUCAUCUGCCUCUGGAUUGAUAAUAACUAGACCAUGAUAAAGUCUGAGGUCACUAUCAAACUAGUACACAUUAUUUAAGAUGAACAAAAUGAAUUUUAAUCUCAGUUUAUUAAUUUAUUGGGUGUGCAACUUAUAGGGGGCAUAAAAGAAUUCAUUUGCUA